rnacentral:rRNA from 1 species
CCUACGGGUGGCUGCAGUCGAGGAUCUUCGGCAAUGGGCGCAAGCCUGACCGAGCGACGCCGCGUGCGGGAUGAAGGCCUUCGGGUUGUAAACCGCUGUCAGUGGGGAGGAAAUGCAGGUGGGUUCUCCCAUCUGUUUGACCUAUCCGCAGAGGAAGGGUGGGCUAAGUUCGUGCCAGCAGCCGCGGUAAGACGAACCACCCAAAGGAUAUUCGGAAUUACUGGGCUUGAAGGGUGCGUAGGCUGCGUAGGAAAUCCCUCGGAUCAACCGAGGAACUGCGCCCAAAACUACUGUGCUCGAGGGAGACAGAGGUGAGCGGAACUUAGGGUGGAGCGGUGAAAUGCGUUGAUAUCCUAAGGAACACCCGUGGCGAAAGCGGCUCACUGGGUCUCUUCUGACGCUGAUGCACGAAAGCUAGGGGAGCGAACGGGAUUAGAUACCCCAGUAGUC